AUAUUCUUAAUAUAUUUUCAUGCAAAAUGUAUUAGUUUAAUGAGCUACGGUAAUACACAUAUAUAUAUUUAUAGGAUAAAUGAAAGUGAGGUGUAUUAAUAAAAUAGCCGUUGGCACUUGAAGGCAUAAACUAGCCGUUGCAAUAUCUUUACCAUGAUAUGCUCAUAUUUAAUUGUGAAUGAAAUUCCAAAAAUACGCAGCAUGGCUGUAUCUCUUGCUCAACAUCAAUUAGAAAUUAAAAACAAGAUCGUUGAAUCAAAUGGUAGGCUAAUUGAUUAUGGUAAUAAUCAAAAUGGUUAUUGUUUAGAAAGAGAUCAUACUGAAACAAGUUGAAUGCAUAAAUAUAAUUGACAAGCUAAAAGAGCAAGUCCAUUGCUAAAAUAUAAUUAUGACCUUGUUCAAAAGCAUGUUCUAAAAUAUUUAACGAGAUAAAAAAAUAUGCAAUUUCCAAAACACAAUUUAUGCAAAAAUAUUUUUAUUCAAAAUCACAUUUAAAUAAAAAUUAAAGUGAGUGUGUGAUAUAUUAUUUUGAGAGCUAUUUUUACUACUCACAUAAGGAUCUUAAAAAAAUAUGGAU
rnacentral:lncRNA from 1 species